rnacentral:rRNA from 1 species
ACGAACGCUGGCGGCUGCUUAACACAUGCAAGUCGAACGGAGUGGCGAACGGGUGAGUAACGCGUGAGCAACCUGCCUAAGACCGUGGGAUAGCCUCGGGAAACCGGGACUACUACCGCAUAGUCAUAGAUGGGCUCGAGUUUGAUUAGCUAGUUGGUGUGAUAACAGCCCACCAAGGCGACGCUCAGUAGCCGGUAUGGGGGGAUGACCGGCGACAUUGGGACGGGGACCCGGUGCAGACUCCUGCGGGAGGGAGCAGUGGGGAAUGUUGCACAAUGGGGGAAACCCUGAUGCAGCGACGCGGCGUAAACGAAGAAGGUAUUCGUAUCGUAAAGUUCUGUACUAUGGGAAGCGGUACCAUAGAAGAAAGCUCCGGCUAAAUACGUGCCAGCAGCCGCGGUAAUAC